ensembl:lncRNA
GGUGCAGUGGUGUGACACUCACCUGGCCCCAUGACCCUGCCAGGUGGGCGUCAUUAUCUACAUGAAAAGACUGAGGCUUAGAGACCUUAAGCAGCUUGCCCAAGGUCACACCGAAAAGCUAAGGCUUGAACAUUAGUCUACUUGACUCAGCCUGUCUGCACCCCGAUAUCCCACAUCUGAAGAUGGACAAGGAGGAUCUAAACGCUAACCCACUAAGCUGUUUCCUUAAACGUCUGAACAAACUCACACAGCAGGGCUAUCAAGGAGAAGUUACCCACCUGACGUUGUAGGCAUUUGCACUUCUCUGACCCUGUGAGGUGCUUUCCCCAGAUGUGCUCAGUGUGUGGCAGGAGCAGAAGCCGGAAGACAGAGAAGCAGCUUGGGAAAAUAGUCUCUGGACGUGGUUUUAUCUCCCCAAAGAUAUAAAUGUCUCCAGAUCCAGGAUUUGUUUUUCUUUUGAAUCUUUAUACUCAUGUAUGAAUGAAAUCGGAGAAGGCAAUGGCACCCCACUCCAGUACUCUUGCCUGGAAAAUCCCAUGGACGGAGGAGCCUGGUAGGCUGUAGUCCAUGGGGUCGCAAAGAGUCGUACAUGACUGAGCGACUUCACUUUCACUUUUCACUUUCAUGCACUGGAGAAGGAAAUGGCAACCCACUCCAGUGUUCUUGCCUGGAGAAUCCCAGGGACGGGGGAGCCUGGUGGGUUGCCGUCUCUGGGGUCGCACAGAGUCGGACACGACUGAAGUGACUUAGCAGCAGCAGCAUGAAUGAAAUGCCAUGGAGUAAGGAUCUGCGGCUUCCCAAGUGGCACCAGUAGUAAAGAACCCGCCUGUCACUGCAGGAGACACAAGAGAUGCUGGUUUGAUCCCUGGGUGAGGAAGAUCCUUGGAGGACGGCAUGGCAACCCACUCCAGUAUUUUCGCCUAGAGAAUCCCACGGACAGAGAGCCUGGCAGGCUAUAGUCCAUAGGGUCACACAGAGUCAGACUCGACUAAAGCGACUUAGCAUGCAAAAGGAGCUGCAUAUUUCCUACAAGAUAUUUCACAUCAGGUGCAUCAAAUCUCCUAUAACUGGGAAUGAAAAUCCAUUGAUUUGAGACUUCUCAGGAACAUCUGAAAAUUGAACAAAUGAAUAAGGUAGAUGACCGUCUGCAGAGACAGGGUAACAGACAGUGAGAGCUAGGUGUCUGCCUCCGCAGGUGGGAAGAGGAUUCCUGUUGUCCCUCCGCAAGCUCUCCUGUAACCCUUCAGCAACGCUGCUCCCUUCCUGCCUCUUUCCCAGGCCUUCCCUCCUGUUCCCAGGCUUUAUCCAACAACCCACUCCCCACCACAACUGCCCCCCCACCUUUCAUUCAUAUAUAUAAUCUUUCAAGCAACAAAUAUUUCUUCUGGGUGUCCACUACCUGCUUGGACCAUGGUGGUAAACUGCUGGCAAGAGACCAUGUCCCUGAGCCGAUGGUACUGAAUCUGGAUGCCGAGUUGGGGACACCAGGGAGAAACACAAUUUAAAAAAAAUAGUAGGGCUUGGCUGGUAGCUCAGAUGUAGCAUCCACCAGCAAUGCAGGAAACCCCAGUUCGAUUCCUGGGUCGGGAAGAUCUGAAGAAAGGACAGGCUGCCCACUCCAGUAUUCUUGGGCUUUCCUGGUGGAUCAGAUGGUAAAGAAUCUGCCUGCAAUGUGAGAGACCUGGGUUGGAUCCCUGGGUUGCGAAGAUCCCCUGGAGGAGGGCAUGGCAACACACUCCAGUAUUCUUGAUGAGAAUCCCCAUGGACAGAGGAGCCUGGUGGGCUACAGUCCAUGGGGUUGCAAAGAGUUGGACAUGGCUGAGCGAAUAAGCACAGCACAGCAGUAAUACUGGAUUAAGUGCAGAGACAGGGUGCUAUAAUAGGGUGGUAAGGAAGGAAGGCAUCUUUGAAGAGGUGAGUUUUAGGCUAAGGAUUGGAAGCUUUAGGCAAAGCCCACCAGGUGUUACACGGAGAUGAAACAGUGAGUAUAAAUGACCUGAGGCAGAAGGAGCUUGUUAGGUUUGACAACUGGAAGAAGGUCACUGAGUCUGGAGCCCCAUGCCAGAGACGGGAGGAGAGAAAAUGAGAU